GAUGAACGCUGGCGGCGUGCCUAAUACAUGCAAGUCGAGCGAACGGACGAGAAGCUUGCUUCUCUGAUGUUAGCGGCGGACGGGUGAGUAACACGUGGAUAACCUACCUAUAAGACUGGGAUAACUUCGGGAAACCGUAGCUAAUACCGGAUAAUAUUUUGAACCGCAUGGUUCAAAAGUGAAAGACGGUCUUGCUGUCACUUAUAGAUGGAUCCGCGCUGCAUUAGCUAGUUGGUAAGGUAACGGCUUACCAAGGCAACGAUGCAUAGCCGACCUGAGAGGGUGAUCGGCCACACUGGAACUGGGACACGGUCCAGACUCCUACGGGAGGCAGCAGUAGGGAAUCUUCCGCAAUGGGCGAAAGCCUGACGGAGCAACGCCGCGUGAGUGAUGAAGGUCUUCGGAUCGUAAAACUCUGUUAUUAGGGAAGAACACAUGUGUAAGUAACUGUGCACAUCUUGACGGUACCUAAUCAGAAAGCCACGGCUAACUACGUG
rnacentral:rRNA from 1 species